CAUCUGGGAUCUUGGCAGCUGAACCUACUGCACAGGGGUGUUCUGUUGAACAGAAGGGAUUAAAAUUUCUUUUGAAUCGAUUUUCAGUUCUUAAGAAAAUGGAACUUCAGAAUCAACCAAAGUAGGAGAAGAGCCGCUCUGGAGAGCGUAGCAUGAGAUAAGCCAGCCAGCCAACUGCUUAUGAGGAUGAGGAGAAGCUGAAACAAAAUUUAAGGAUGUCUCAAAGGCUGGGUGGCCUUGAGUUCGUGAAAGGGAACACGUCUGUUCUAUCUCAGGCUGCGGUCCUCUGCGUCCUCAUCGCCUGCCUUCAGCCAUGCUGAGCCACCUGCCGUUCUCUCUGUGGACUCCAGGCUUUUGGACUUGCUGUCCUUCUGGGAGCCCUUUUGUCCAACGCUGAUUCAUUCAUUACAUGAACGCAAGCCUUUGUGUGCUUAGGUUGGAUUUUAGCCUCGGCUCUGCCAUCUGUGUUCUCGGGCAAAGUUGGUUUUUGUCUCUCUGAGCCUUAGUUUCCUCAUCUGUCAAGGGUAAGUGAUGUGACACACAAUACCUGGCGUCUAGUGAGGUCUAAUGUUAGCUCUUAUUAUCCACGCAUCUUCAAGGUCAGCUGUGGACCAAACACCCUGUUGAUAUUCUGUGAAGUGGUAGCUCUACCUAGACCAAUGGUUUUCAAAUUUUCUCCUUCAUUGGAACCACCUGAGGGGUUGCUAAACCACAGGUUACUGGGUCCCACCCCAAGAGUUUUUGAUUCUGGCGGGCACAAAGUGGGGCUCGAGGGUUUGCAUUCCUAAUAUGUUCUCAGGUGAUGCUGAGCCUGCUGGUCCUGGGACUGUACUUUUAGAACCACUGGGCUGAUUACCUGGGAAGAGCGGAUGUCUGGUUAGCGUGAUCAGACAUUCGGAGCUAAAACAAACUCAUGCUAGAGGAUAAGGCGAUCCACCACGGGUGUGGCCACAGAGUAUUUGUUUAUCAAUUUAACCUUUCAGCCACUGUUUGUUGAGUAUCUUACCAGGUCCAGGCAUUGUGCUAGACACCAACAAUAGAACGGUGAUUGAGCAAGACAAGAAGACCCAGAUCUUCAUAAGUUCACAGUCUAGUGGCCCUGCUUUGGAAGGUGGGGACUGUCAUUACACAAAUCCCAUGGAUCUGAACUGAAGGGGCAUAAUUACUUUGGGGAAUGUUUAGCCUUCAAACCACUGAUAUCAUCAUUGUUUUCUGUCUACCGCAUCAGCGUAUUGCCUUCUCACUAACGAUUUCACCGAAAUGAUCCAUGAAAACUGAUUAUGGUAUUCUCAUAAUCCCUUGCCUGGAGCUGCAGCCAUCAUUUGGAACAGUUUUAGGAUGAAGUCGACCCAUGGAACAUGGCAGAACAGAGUGUCAGAAAAUCAGAGCCAGGUUGUGAGACCGAACACGAGUUACAGGAAACGAUACGUUUCCUUAUUAUCGUUGUUAGCUGGAACACACUCUCAGAGAAUCAAUGCCAAAGAUGUUAUAUAACACCUAUGAUAUGGAAUGAUAAAUACCCUUAUGGUGAUGAUUAUCUGCCAAUUCAAGUAGGGGGUUUUCUGUUAGUUGGUGCUAAAAGUCCCCCAUGAUAAAAUAGCCUGCAUUUACUAAGUGCUUACAACAUGUCAGCCACUGGACUGAAUGUUCGGUGUGCACCAUUUCACUGCAUGCUGGCGGCAACCGCACACGUAGGCUCUAUUACUAGCCGAUUGUUGAGGGAGGACAUUCAGAGUUGAAGUCGCUUGCUCUCUAGCUGGGAGUGGAGAGGAUGAGAGUUAAGGCUGCUCUGCGGAGCAGGAUGGGCCAGUAAGGAUUAUUUAAAUGUAUUGCCAAUGGCACCAACCUAAACGUUUUGCAAUCACACAGCCUUCCUUGAGCUUCUUCCAAGAUGGAACAGAUAAGAAUGGAAAUACAAUCCAAACGACCUUAUCUUUGUUUGGAGGGCUGAGAAUCAUAGAAGGCAACUGACUUGCCCAGUUGAGCUUUCUCCAUCUGGUUCUUCUCAUUAAACUUGACUGCUUUCUAGAAGUUAAUCAAAUACAUUCUCAGGCUGCUUUGGCUCAGUUUCCUGGUUAGGCAAGCAGAGAAAAAGGGCUAGGCACUGUAGAACCCCGGGUCCUGCAGCUCCCCCACGUGGCUGCAUUUUGACAAAAACAUACUUCCGAGAGAGGAGAUCAAGUAAGAAACCAGCCCUUCCGCGGCUGUCAUUAGCAGAUGUGCAGCUGGGGGCCAUUUUGUCAAGAAGUGGCUCAUUUGGAAAAACAAAACAAAACAAAAAAUGGCAAAAAAAAAAAAAAAAAAAAUCUGUACAGGUGCAUGUCAGUCCCCGGUAAUGAAAUGUAACAAAGGAAGUACUUAAGUUCAGUGAGGGAAAUACAGCUUGAAAUUACAGACUGUACCCAGAGCACUUUAUAAACGGUAAUGUGGGAUAAUGGAUUAUCCCUACUUCGGUUAAAUUGUGGACUGCAACUUCUGCUGGGACAAGUUAAAGGGCCAGGAGAUGGAGAGGGUCGCGGGGAUGCCUUUCCAGAAAAGGGCAACAGAGGCUAAGGGGUUAAACUCCCCAGAAAACCAAUUUAUGCAAAGGGCUGGAUCCUGACCGGCAUUCUGCACUAAAGAUCUGAAUUACAAAUUUAGAGAAUUUGCUGCUCGGUAAGUAAUUUCUUUUCUUCCUAAUGGAGACUGUAAUUUCCAGCGGGCCGGGGCCACUUCAUUUGCACUGAUAGAGUGAACAAAAUCUUGACCACAGAGAAGCCUAAUUCUACUCGCCGUGCAAAAUUGCCUUUUAAAAAGGCUUAAAGAGGGACAUUCAAAGGAUGGUUAAAACCAGCCUCUGUAAUCUGACAUUGCUACAAAGCACAUCCCCCAGUUUCCACUGUGUUUGUACCUUGGGUUGGUUAAUAAUUGGAAUCAGUUCUUUUCCCUUCCCUUUAAGGUAGGUGGUGUAGCUGAUUUUAUUUUUUUAAGGUAUAAGAUCUACUUGGGAUCAUCUGACAUAAGAAAUAACAUUGUCAGAUUCGUGUUGGAGAAAUCUGUGCCCUUCCAGGCACUUUGAGAAGGGGAAGGACACAGAUUCUCGAUUUCUUGAAAUCUAAUUUUUUUUUUCUUUAAGAUGCUUGGAAUCUAAUUUAAUGAGACCCCAGUGCUUCUCGACUGUUUGCAAACAAGAACAAUCUAGAACGAUGAAUUCAGGAAGGACCUCACGGGCUGCUGGGAACAACUGCUUUGAAUGAAUUCUUUUAUGGAUACCAGUCAGAAAGUCACCGUCAGCUGGAACUGGAAGGGAGAGGGGCAUUUCUUAUCUGGGCAAAAAGCCUCCGUACCCAGCGAGGUGAAACUUGCAAAUGAUACCGACACCUUCCUCAAUGGACUGCAGCCCAGGAGCUCGGGGUGUUUGGAGACAAAGGAAUGGCAGCUGCCUGGUUUCCUUGAAUUAUCCUGUGUCCUGAUGGUGGCAACGAUGGACCUCCCAUCGCUGGCUUCCCCAAGUGCUGUGUUCCUGCUUCGGGCCAAGUUAAGCAUUCUGAUGACACUAAGUGGGAUAGUUCUCAACUGGGUGAGGCACAGGUGUGAGUACUCUGGAGGUAUGGUAAGGAGUUUUGAAGGUGCUAACCUAGAUGCAAGGAAAAGACCUGUUCUUUAUUUGAAACACGAAUUCAGCCAGUCCGAACUGGGAGCUCACAGGCCUCAGCAGCGCGGGAUCCUGUUCUCACUUACAUCAGGGUUUCGAGUGAUACUGUAUUUUUCUGAAUGCAUUUUCCAAAUGCCUAUUUACCAAAGCCAUGGUGUAAUUUGCCUAAGCAGCAAACUUGUCCUUACAGUCUAGGUCCACAUCAGGAGAGUGUAUUCAAUGUUUACCUCCGAUCAAUGUGUGAUGAAUUGCAUAAGAGAUAGAUUUGUUUCAGCCAAUGUGUAUGUGUGGAUCUGUGUAGUUACAUGUGUUUAUUUGCAUGUAUGUAAAUAUGACUGUGUGAGUGCAUGGAUCAAUUCUUGCAUGAUAUAUAUUCACAUGAGUAUGUGCACAUGUAUGUGAAUAUGGGUAUAAGUACAUAUCUGAACAUAUAUGCCUGUAUCUGUAGUGGACACUGUCAAUGCAUUCAUCCUCCAGUUACUUAGGCAACCAGCUUCGCAGCUCAAGGGGGGGCAGCUUACUCAUCCUCCCACCUCCCAGGGCAGCCCAGAACGCACUUACAGGAGUUCAAAGGCCAGCCCCCUUGCCUCAAGAUCAAAUUAGCUGGGUGGUGCGAUUCAUGCUCCAGCUGAAACCAACCUUGCCCCACUCCUUUCUUGCUCUCUUCUUUCUCUAUUACUCCCUUUCCCUGGGAGCCCACUCUCAGUAUAUCCUGUGCGUCCAAAUCCCCAUCUCAGGCUCAGCUCCAGGCAACCUGGCCUAAGACAGCGCUUUUUUUUUUUUUUGAGAUGGAGU